UUUUUAGGCAUUAAAACAUUUUAUGUUCACCUACCUUUUUCAUCUUAGUACGUGAUUGAAAGUGAGAUAUUACUCGUGCAAUGAUAACUUAUCCGUAUAUGAUAAUGCUCCGUUUUAAUUUUCAUGAACGGAACGUUCUGGCGCAAUCGUUUGUCCUCUAUCGGCAUCCAUUUUUCCUACUGUCGAAAAUAAAGGGGUUUUGAUUUUUCUCGUUUCUUUAAGCACCUGAAAAAGCACCUGCAGUAAUAUUUACAUGUGCCAGAUAAUAAGAAAAUAGGAUGUGAUGACCGACUCUGAUGAUUGGGCGCUUGAAAACUGAAGUUUCGCCCUCCGUUUGUGUGGACUCACAAUAUUUAUACGUCAAAUAUACGGACUGGGGUUGUCCGUAAAUCAACGUAUGCAUCCCCCCAUUUUUAACCUCCCCUCUCUCCAUGGCAGGCCCUCUUUCGUCCCUUUGUCCCUUCCUCCCUCCCUUCCUAGUGCGUAAUCAUGAACAGCGCACCUCCAUGACUUCCGUCAAUUGAAGGUCACAAAACGCAGGAAAAAUUAGUUUUUGUGAACUAUAAUUUGAGUUCUCGUAGGGCGGGGAAGUCGUGAGUCCAAUUGGAACCUGAUUUUCCGCUCUCUGGACACACCGAAUUGGGUGCCGAUCGAUUAUAGACACCAGCGCCCCAGCGUCACAAUGUGAUAAGAACCUUUGACUUUUGCAAGUGUUUUAUGAAAUUAGCUGCAGGCGUUUUCCAUCCUGAGUGAAAUUCAACUUUCCAUUUUCAUGAGGGAAAAAUGGCAAAUAUUCGCGUUAUUAAAAUGUACAAACUUGAGCUUUAUUUGCAGCAAUGCGUGGUUGAUGGAAGCAAUAGCGAAUGCAAUUGACAUUUUGUUUUAUAAUUGUUUAUUGUUUGACAAUCGACUUGCAGAGAUCGUUUGAAUUCCGAUUGUAUAUCGAUGAAAUUUCAGAGCGGAUCUUAAAGACAGUUUGAGAUGGACUCAAGAAAAGAAUUCUCACUGUGGACUCCAUCUGAGAUCAAUUUUGAUUUAGAAUCCCUGUCAAAAAAUAAGCGACCAAAAUUUUCUGAAAAAAUUCGCCCGCUCAUUUUAAUGUACAAACUUUUUGGUCUCGUAUCAUUUUCGUACCAAAAGGACGGAUGCUCUGUGAUUCUUGUGCAGGACACUUUCAGCUUUUCGACAGUCGCGAUAAAAUCCGUCCUACUUGCAACGACGAUUUAUCUUUGGGGAGCCGAACCUAAGCAUUGGCGCAGACAGUUGGAUCUGACAAUAUUUUGGCUUCUAUUGGGCGCCUCAGCUUACACGGAGAAAUGCUUUCUAGAUGCAAUAAACACCAUCGAUAAAUUCGACUCUCUGCUGUAUCACAGUGGCUCUCCCCUGGAAGUUCCUCGCCUCAACAGUCGUCUGCUCAGCGGAAUGUGCGGCAUCCUCCUCUUUUUCACAUCCAUCAUGCACGCCCUCCUGUACUCCCACCUGAGCGACAAGUUCAUCUCCAAACGCACCCUCAUCCAGUGCCUCAACUACCCCCUCAAGACCCCCCGCUUCACCGACUACCUCAUCCCUCUCGUGGGCGUCGUGUUCUACUCGCAGCUCAUCAAGCGGUUCCUGGACCUGAACACCAAGUGGCAGGGCGUCGUCGACGCGCUCCCGGACGCCGCUGUCCCUCAGAAAGGGAUCGAAAGCGUCCGGCUCAUGCACCACGAAUUGUGCCAAGCCAACCUCAACUUCAAUUACUAUCACGGACUCCAGUUCCUUAUUUUCUUCUUGAGUAUUUUUUUGAAGCUCGUCACUGACUUGGCCUUCUUCCUAUACUUGUACAUCCCUGAUAUCGAGCUGCAGUGCGUUGUAUAUGUCGGGUAUUUUAUCAAUUUCACCCUCUUUCUGGCCGUUUCGGGAAGUUUGUUGAGAGUUGUAAGUAAAUACAACUGACCGCGCUUUUUAACUACACGGAGGAAAAAAAUGUUACCAGAUAUUAGAUUUCUGAUCAUCAGGAGCAGGAUGGUAAAAUAGAGCUGGGUCCAGGUUAUCCUCCGGAGAAAUUAAAGCCAAAAAAUCCACAAAUUGGAAUUAGAGUCACAAAAUGAACUGCAAUAAUGUUCUCCAUCUAUUAUUUUUAAUUUUUUGGUUUUGAUUUUCCUUCAGGUUAGUGUGGACCCAGCACAACUUCACAUCUUGUUACCUACAGUAUUAUCCGGGCCACAUUUUUGGUGUUUUUUCUUUUCCUGCAGGUCGAUUAUUAAACCAUUAUCGAAUGACCUUGGUCGAUAAAAAUAAAUGCCAAGAUAGGGAUAUAUCGAUCGAGUUCAUUCGAUAACUAUUUAAUAAUUGACCCGCUGGUCAUAGAUCGUCUUUUUCGGACAAGCGAAUAUACGUAAUUACAUUUCAAGGUUGCAAAAGGACUCAAAAAUGCAUUUUUCUACAAGAUAAUUACCGCGAAGUUCCUAUUAAAAGAUGACGAUAAACUCUAGACUCAUGCACGUCAGAAUUGACUGAAUGAUACGGUUUUUUUAAUGUUGCAUUUUAUUCGAUUGUAACUGAUUGCAUUUCUGUGCAGAAACAACGGGUGAGCUGUGAAGUAAAAAAAUUACAGUUGAGCAAUUUAUCUUCAAAGUGUGUCAGUCAGGUUGGUAAUAUUUUCGGUGAUUUAAAUUUUAAAUAUAUACCAAGGAAAAUUAUAUGUUCCGACAAGGGCCACAUAGAAGGACUCAAAUUUCAUAUCAACUUCCUGUGCUCUGCAAUUUACCCUUUGAGCAGGAGUAGCAAAAUAUGGUUAUCUUAAAAUAAACCCCUGCUUCUUUUCCUUGACUUUGUCGUGAAAUUGGUAUAGAAAUUAUCUGAUUUUUUCAAUGCAUCAAUACACACAAAAUAAAUUUGAGCGUUCUGCUGUAUUUUUCUAUUCAAAAUUUCAAUCGUGUGCAACGGAAAACAUUAUGCUUGACUAUGAGUUAUACUUCUAAUAAGUUGUGUUGCACAGAUCGUAUUCUACGUAAAAUUUUGAUGAGAAACAUGCAUGUUAGUCCUUAAAUUUGAACCUUGUCAGAGGUCCAUUGAUACAUCAAAAUCCUAGAAAAUUUUUAAAAUAUCCGUUUUUGAAGCCUCGACGAAUGUAAAUUGUAAAUUGUAAAUUUUUCAUCAGAGUAAUUUCUUAUUUCCAGGUAUUAUUGUAUUUAGGACAAAUCAAAACAGAUAGGUGCGAAGUUGUGGCUAAUGGGUUCGCGCAUUUUGACCGACCGUUCAUGAUUUCCGUAAGUUAUCGGCAAUCUUACAUUUAUUUAAAAAAACAUAAAUCUUGAUUUUUUUUAGUAUAUCAUAAACGAACUGUGGACAGUCAAGAGUGAACAGUAAAAGUUAAUUGCAUAGUGUACGCCUCCUCUGUUAGAAUAUUAUGCUGAUCUUCCCCCUCUCUCCGAUAGUUUGUUGUUGAGUCUUUAACAGACUUAAAGAGAACUGUAUAGGGCCAAAAAAAGUAAAUAUAUUAGAAUUCAAUUGUUUCUCCAAUUUAUUUUGUAACUUCCAAUGAGUGCGGCCAAUUUUUAAAGCACAGAAUGGGCCUGUUGCAUGCAAGAGAUACAGCCGCGCGAAUAGACUUUUAAGAGGUUAAUUGACACGAAAAUUACGAUGGUCACAUUAAAAAAGUCUGAAAUACACUCCUUACCGCGCAAUAUGCGUUGUUAGGAGCGCGCUUUUUCAAAUCUCCGCGUCUGGGGGCAGUUUUCUAAUCACCGGAAACGAGCAAACGGCGGGCUCGGUGAUUUCCGGAAGAUGCCGAGUCGUUGUUGUUGUUAUUUUUUCCUUCAGUUCGUUUACAAACCCAACGUGAAUCUCUUAUAGGGUCCAUAUACGCUUUAUGCGGUAACCAAAUCGAUCAACUUUUAAAUAUCCAACGCAGUCCCUCUACAUUUCAUUUCACGAUAUCACGAGCUCCGAUUUUUAGGUUAUGUUGUCGGUUUUAGGUGACCGGAAAUAGCCGCGAGUUGCCGUUGAUUGUUUCCGUUAGAAAACUGCCCCCAGACGCGGGAAAUUUGAAAAAGCGCGUUUGUAACAACGCAAAUUGCGCAGUAAGGAAUGUAUUUCAGACUUUUUUAAUGUGACCAUCGUAAUUUUCGUGUCAUAUAACCCCUAAAGAGUCUAUUCGCACGGCUGUAUCUCUUGCAUGCAACAGGCCCAUUGCAUGUUGCAAGCUGAGAAUGAAAUUAAAAAUGACGUUCGCUAUUCCCAAUUUUCAUUCAAGAGAUCUAUAAAAAACAGAGCAUAAUUUUUCUCUGUUUGAAGACGGACAAUUUUCUCCAUGUCAGUAAUCGUUUUCCACCAGACGCAUUUUCAAUCAAAGGGUGAGUUGCGCCGGU
rnacentral:lncRNA from 1 species